GGGGGGGGGGGGGGGGGGGGGGGGGGGGGGGGGGGGGGGGGGGGGGGCGGGGGGGGGGCGGCGCGGAGGUUGGCGGCGGACGGGUGAGGAACACGGGGCGAACCGACCUAUAAGACUGGGAUAACUUCGGGAAACCGUAGCUAAUACCGGAUACUAUUUUGAACCGCAUGGUUCCAAAGUGAAAGACGGUCUUGCUGGCACUUAUAGAUGGCUCCGCGCUGCAUUAGCUAGUUGGUAAGGUAACGGCUUACCAAGGCAACGAUGCAUAGCCGACCUGAGAGGGUGAUCGGCCACACUGGAACUGAGACACGGUCCAGACUCCUACGGGAGGCAGCAGUAGGGAAUCUUCCGCAAUGGGCGAAAGCCUGACGGAGCAACGCCGCGUGAGUGAUGAAGGUCUUCGGAUCGUAAAACUCUGUUAUUAGGGAAGAACAUAUGUGUAAGUAACUGUGCACAUCUUGACGGUACCUAAUCAGAAAGCCACGGCUAACUACGUG
rnacentral:rRNA from 1 species